rnacentral:rRNA from 1 species
UUACCUACGGGAGGCAGCAGUGAGGAAUAUUGGUCAAUGGGAGAGAUCCUGAACCAGCCAAGCCGCGUGAGGGAAGACGGCCCUAUGGGUUGUAAACCUCUUUUGUCGGAGAACAAAACCCGGGACGUGUCCCGGACUGCGUGUAUCCGAAGAAAAAGCAUCGGCUAACUCCGUGCCAGCAGCCGCGGUAAUACGGAGGAUGCGAGCGUUAUCCGGAUUUAUUGGGCGUAAAGGGCUCGUAGGCGGUUCGUCGCGUCCGGUGUGAAAGUCCAUCGCUUAACGGUG